rnacentral:rRNA from 1 species
GACGAACGCUGGCGGCGUGCUUAACACAUGCAAGUCGAACGGAAAGGCCCUGCUUUUGUUGGGUGCUCGAGUGGCGAACGGGUGAGUAACACGUGAGUAACCUGCCCUUGACUUUGGGAUAACUUCAGGAAACUGGUGCUAAUACCUGAUAGGAGCUCCUGCUGCAUGGUGGGGGUUGGAAAGUUUCGGCUGUUGGGGAUGGACUCGCGGGUUAUCAGCUUGUUGGUGGGGUAGUGGCUUACCAAGGCUUUGAAGGGUAGCCGGCAUGAGAGGGGGACCGGGGACAAGGGGACUAAGAGACGGCGCAGAGUGCUACGGGAGGCAGCAGGGGGGAAUAUGACACAAUGGGCGGAAGCGUGAUGAAGAGGCGUCGCGUGCGUGAUGACGGCCUGUGGGGUGUAAACCGCUUUCGCCUGUGACGAAGGGUGAGUGACGGUAAUGGGUAAAGAAGCACCGGCUAACUACGUG